AGUGAACGCUGGCGGUAGGCCUAACACAUGCAAGUCGAACGGCAGCACAGUAAGAGCUUGCUCUUACGGGUGGCGAGUGGCGGACGGGUGAGGAAUACAUCGGAAUCUACUUUUUCGUGGGGGAUAACGUAGGGAAACUUACGCUAAUACCGCAUACGACCUACGGGUGAAAGCAGGGGAUCUUCGGACCUUGCGCGGUUGAAUGAGCCGAUGUGGGAUUAGCUAGUUGGCGGGGUAAAGGCCCACCAAGGCGACGAUCCGUAGCUGGUCUGAGAGGAUGAUCGGCCACACUGGAACUGAGACACGGUCCAGAGUCCUACGGGAGGCAGCAGUGGGGAAUAUUGGACAAUGGGCGCAAGCCUGAUCCAGCCAUACCGCGUGGGUGAAGAAGGCCUUCGGGUUGUAAAGCCCUUUUGUUGGGAAAGAAAAGCAGCAGGUUAAUACCCCGCUGUUCUGACGGUACCCAAAGAAUAAGCACCGGCUAACUUCGUG
rnacentral:rRNA from 1 species